rnacentral:rRNA from 1 species
UACGAAGGGGGCUAGCGUUGCUCGGAAUGACUGGGCGUAAAGGGCGCGUAGGCGGCUCAUACAGUCAGAUGUGAAAUUCCUGGGCUUAACCUGGGGGCUGCAUUUGAUACGUGUGGGCUUGAGUGGGGAAGAGGGUCGUGGAAUUCCCAGUGUAGAGGUGAAAUCCGUAGAUAUUGGGAAGAACACCGAUGGCGAAGGCAGCCAUCUGGACCGACACUGACGCUGAGGCGCGAAAGCGUGGGGAGCAAACAGG